ACCCUCAGGUCCUCUCUCAUCAGAUCUCAACACUGGUCCUGGUGAUCAUAAAGGUAGAAGCAUAUAUUGGGUGGGUUCACAGCACUGUCCAAUAUAAAGCAUGUAAGCUAGAUUGAAACAGGG
ensembl:snoRNA